GCCUGGGUGGCUCAGUCGGUUAAGCGUCUGACUUAGGCUCAGGUCAUGACCUCACAGUUUGUGGGUGGGAGCCCCACAUCAGGUC
rnacentral:tRNA from 1 species